rfam:Xenopus laevis strain J chromosome 5L, whole genome shotgun sequence.
CCAAAGGCUCUUUUCAGAGCCACCCACCCACUCAUAUUAAGAGUUG